rnacentral:rRNA from 1 species
UCGAGGGGCAGCGGGGGCGAAGCUUGCUUCGCCUGCCGGCGACCGGCGCACGGGUGAGUAACACGUAUGCGACCUGCCCCCCGCAGGGGGAUAACCGGGAGAAAUCCCGACUAAUACCGCGUAACGCCGCUGGGCUGCAUGGCCCGGCGGCCAAAGGAAGCGAUUCCGGCGGGGGAUGGGCAUGCGGCGCAUUAGCUAGUCGGCGGGGUAACGGCCCACCGAGGCGACGAUGCGUAGGGGUUCUGAGAGGAAGGUCCCCCACACUGGUACUGAGACACGGACCAGACUCCUACGGGAGGCAGCAGUGAGGAAUAUUGGUCAAUGGGCGGGAGCCUGAACCAGCCAAGUCGCGUGAGGGAAGACGGUCCUACGGAUUGUAAACCUCUUUUGCCGGGGAGCAACGGGGUCCUUGCGAGGGCCCGAUGAGAGUACCCGGAGAAAAAGCAUCGGCUAACUCCGUGCCAGCAGCCGCGGUAAUACGGAGGAUGCGAGCGUUAUCCGGAUUUAUUGGGUUUAAAGGGUGCGUAGGCGGGCUGUUAAGUCAGCGGUCAAAUGUCGGGGCUCAACCCCGGCCUGCCGUUGAAACUGGCGGCCUCGAGUGGGCGAGAAGUAUGCGGAAUGCGUGGUGUAGCGGUGAAAUGCAUAGAUAUCAGAGCAGAACUCCGAUUGCGAAGGCAGCAUACCGGCGCCCGACUGACGCUGAGGCACGAAAGCGUGGGUAUCUAAAAGGAUUAGAUACCCUGGUAGUCCACGCAGUAAAC